rnacentral:rRNA from 1 species
GUUGAAUACACCGGUUCUCGUCCGAUCACCGAAGUUAAGCAGCGUCAGGCUCGGUUAGUACUUGGAUGGGAGACCGCCUGGGAAUACCAAGUGUUGUAGGCU